UGGAAUAUGCUUGUUUCAAAGAUUAAGCCAUGCAUGUCUGAGCAUGCGCUGAAGUAAAGUGAAGCCGCGAAUAGCUCAUUACAACAGCCGUUGUUUCUUGGAUCUCUUCUCUACUUGGAUAACUGUGGUAAUUCUAGAGCUAAUACAUGCAAACAAGCCCUGAACGUGAGUGACGGGCGCAUUUAUUAGAACAAGACCAUCUGGCUUCGGCCAUACGUUGGUGACUCUGAAUAACUGAGCCGAUCGCACGGGCUCGUCCCGGCGACGUAUCUUUCAAGUGUCUGCCUUAUCAGGUUUCGUUGGCGGUUUAUGUGACCGCCAAGCCUGUAACGGGUAACGGAGGAUCAGGGUCUGACUCCGGAGAGGGAGCCUGAGAAACGGCUACCACUUCUAAGGAAGGCAGCAGGCGCGCGAAUUACCCAUUCUUGGCCCAAGGAGGUAGUGACGAAAAAUACCAAGGUGAGGCUCAUCGAGCUUGAACAUUGGAAUGAGAACAAUCUAAGUCCUUUAACGAGGAUCUAGU
rnacentral:rRNA from 1 species